rnacentral:rRNA from 1 species
CCCUUAGAUGUUCUGGGCCGCACGCGUGCUACACUGAGUGGAUCAGCGGGUCAGGUUGCGCGAAAGCGUUUCCUAAUCUUUAAAUCCGCUCGUGAUGGGGAUUGACGGUUGCAAUUUUCUGUCAUGAACGAGGAAUACCUUGUAAGCGCGGGUCAUCAUCCCGCGCUGAAUACGUCCCUGCCCUUUGUACACACCGCCCGUCGCUCCUACCGAUUGAGUGGUCCGGUGAGGCUUUGGGAUCUGAGCGGAAAGAGCGUUUCGCUGUUUCUGCUCGGAAAACUCAGACGAACCUUAUCAUUUAGAGGAAGGAGAAGUCGUAACA